UGGAAUGGUAGGUAGCUUCUCGGCUAACUAUCUUAUUGUAGUUUAGUUGAGUGAGAGGAAAGUCCAUGCUUACAUAGUCUGAGAUGACUAUAGUGAUUGUGUGAGUAUAUAAGAAAUAAAACUCAACGGCUAGUUCUACUAGUUGAUGGCGGAGAACCUUUCUAAAUAAGCCAAAGGCUUACAUGAGUAAUUCUCUGUAAAGUGCCACAGAGACGAGCUUUAUAGAAAUAUAGAGAGUGAAACGAGGCAAACCCCGCAAGUAAGAAACCUAAAUAUUGGUGAGGGAACUUAAGCUGAGGAAAUGAACGAAGCUUAGGGAUCGAAUUUGAUUAGAUUAAUUACCUACUUUUAUCUGAUUUACAGAUAAAAACAGAACAUGGCUUAUUGUU
rnacentral:RNase_P_RNA from 2 species